AUCUGGUUGAUCCUGCCAGUUCUAGGGCUAAUACAUGAGUAAAACCUCAACUUCGGAAGAGGUGUGUUUAUUAGUAUGAAAACCAUAUAUCUUCGGAUAUAAUAGUGAGUAAUAAUAACCUUUCAUAUCGUAUGUCGUAAGAUAACGAUAGUUCUUUCAAGUUUCUGCCCUAUCAGCUUUCGAUGGUAGUAUAUGGGACUACCAUGGCAGUAACGGGUAACGAAGAAUUUGGGUUCGAUUUCGGAGAGGGAGCCUGAGAGAUGGCUACCACAUCCAAGGAAGGCAGCAGGCGCGUAAAUUACCCAAUCCUGACAUAGGGAGGUAGUGACAAUAAAUCACAAUGCGGAACUUUUAGUUUUGCAAUUGGAUUGAGAACAAUGUACAAAUGUUAUCGAUAAACAAUUGGAGGGCAAGUCUGGUGCCAGCAGCCGCGGUAAUUCCAGCUCCAAUAGCGUAUAUUAACGUUGUUGCAGUUAAAAAGCUC
rnacentral:rRNA from 1 species